CCUACGGGAGGCAGCAGUGGGGAAUAUUGGGCAAUGGAGGAAACUCUGACCCAGCGACGCCGCGUGCGGGAUGAAGGCCUUCGGGUUGUAAACCGCUUUCAGUAGGGAAGAAGCGAAAGUGACGGUACCUACAAAAGAAGCACCGGCUAACUAUGUGCCAGCAGCCGCGGUAAUACAUAGGGUGCAAGCGUUGUCCGGAAUUAUUGGGCGUAAAGAGCUCGUAGGUCGUUUGUUACGUCGGAUGUGAAAACCUGAGGCUCAACCUCAGGCCUGCAUUCGAUACGGGCAAACUAGAGUUUGGUAGGGGAGACUGGAAUUCCUGGUGUAGCGGUGGAAUGCGCAGAUAUCAGGAGGAACACCAAUGGCGAAGGCAGGUCUCUGGGCCAAUACUGACACUGAGGAGCGAAAGUCUGGGGAGCGAACAGGAUUAGAUACCCUGGUAGUCCAGACCGUAAACGGUGGGCACUAGUUGUGGGAACCUUCCACGGUUUCUGCGACGCAGCUAACGCAUUAAGUGCCCCGCCUGGGGAGUACGAUCGCAAGNUUAAAACUCAAAGGAAUUGAACGGCUGAGAGUGCGAGGACGACGACGAGGGAGAGG
rnacentral:rRNA from 1 species